AACCAGCUGUCGGAGAAGGAGAGAAAAAUCCAACAUCUGGAGCAUGACUUCGAGAAGAGCCGAGUCAGACACGACCAGGAGGAGAAACUCAUCAUCAGUGCCUGGUACAACAUGGUGAGUGAGAGUAUAAAAACAUCAAAACAUGGACAUUACAAAAAAAGAUAUCUUUAGGACAGAUGAGGAGGAGGAGAGACACUGAAGCUUCUACAGCUGAUUGUAUUUAUUUACUUUCUUGUCCCUCUUUUUUCCUUCCACCUUUUUGUCUCUGAUAGUACAAACUUAAGUCCUGAACCUUUUUCAGAAGCAACCUCUUGAAAUCUAAAAGAAAAUAUGAGUCAGCGUUCGGGACAAUAAUCCAGGGAGGGUGGGAUGCGAGGGACGAGAUUUGUGUGACAUGAAUGAAUGGGACAUUAAUGUACAUGUUUCUAUAUUUAUUUAAUUCUAUAUAUGUAUGUGUGUGUGUAUGUGUAUAUAUAUAUAUAUAUAUAUAUUUUGUUUUAUUUUAUGUGUUUUCUCUGUUGUAUCCCGGGAUAUAAAGGUAAAUAUCUCAUGUGAUCCUGAUUUCAUUCUUGAAAAGUGUAACUAAUUUAAAUGUUAUGGUAUUAUUUUGGUUGAUAAUAAUUUGUAUGACUGAUGGAAAACAUGAAAGAAAUAAUAAUAAUCCAGAGAGUCUUAGUUUCACACUCAAAAGGCGUGUUUCUCAACACCAGAAACUCUUUGUUAGAGUUUAUAGAAUCACUUUGUGUGGCCUGAUAACGUCUGAUAACUUUGCUUUGAGGAU